GCCUGGAGCGCAUGCGCAGCCCUGCGCCCCUAGGCUCAGGGCGCAGGCGCGGCCCUCCUGGGAAGCGACCGCGGGUCGUAGGGGGCGGCCGCGCGCACGCAGGGGGCGUGGCUACGCGACGUGUUCCGGCUCUGAACGCUGCGCCCGUCCGAACGGGUGUAGCCACCUUCUGCCCUGCGGGUGGCACUUGGACUCUGGCUCCGGGAGGGGACCGGUCCGCAGUCUCCAGCCGCAGAUCCGUGGACCCUCUUCACAGACGCUUCGCGCAGCCUCAGGAUCUGCUAACCUGCCUGUCCAGAAGCCAGAUCCAGUUCGACCAGGGUGUCCAGAACCCCCAGAAGACAGAGGAGGAGAUUUCUGAGAUGGAGGUGCCUGCACCCCCAGCCAGUAUGGCAGCCUCCCCACUCCCACCGCCGGACCCCCAGUUUGUCCUCCGUGGUACCCAGUCGGCGGUGCAUGCGCUGCAUUUCUUCGGAGGAGCCCAAGGACAGGGAUACCCACUCCUCCUCUCAGGGUCCCUGAGUGGGCUGGUACACAUCUGGAGCCUGCAGACACGGAGGGCAGUUGCAACCCUGGAUGGCCACGGGGGCCAGUGUGUGACCUGGCUGCAGACACUGCCCCAAGGGCACCAGCUGCUCAGUCAGGGCCGGGACCUGAAGCUGUGCCUGUGGGACCUGGCAGAGGGCAGGAACGCCGUCGUGGACUCUGUGGCCCUAGAGAGCAUGGGCUUCUGCAGGAGCUCUGUCCUCGCUGGGACUCAGGAGCGCUGGAUGCUGGCUAUGCCGGGGAGAGGUAGUGAUGAGGUUCAGAUUCUGGAGAUGCCAUCCAAGACGUCAGUGUGCACCCUGAAGCCGGAGGCAGAUGCCAAGCCAGGCAUGCCCAUGUGCCUGGAGCUGUGGCAGGCUGACUCCAAUCCCCGCCCACUCCUCCUGGCCGGCUAUGAGGACGGAUCGGUGGCCCUGUGGGACGUCUCUGAGCGGAAGGUGUGCAGCCGCGUCGCCUGCCACACGGAGCCCGUCAUGGGCUUUGACUUUGACUCCCAGAAGACCAGGGGCGUCUCGGGCUCCGCGGAGAAGGCGCUGGCUGUCUGGAGCCUGGAUGAGCAGCAGGCCCUGCAGGUGUGCAGAACUCAUGAACUCACGAAUCCUGGGAUCGCUGAUGUCAAGAUCCGGCCAGACCGCAAGAUCCUGGCCACUGCGGGCUGGGACCACCGGGUCCGAGUGUUUCACUGGCGGACGAUGAAGCCACUGGCUGUACUACGCUUCCACGGUGCCACCGUCCACUGUGUGGCCUUUGCCACAGAUGGCUUGCUGGCCGCAGGAUCUGGGGAUCAGCGGAUCAGCAUCUGGUCCCUCUACCCGACCCACAGUGACAUGUCUGCUCCCUUGUUGGGCCACGCAGAGGGCAGGGAGGUGGGUGCCCAUGCUGUGGCCUGACCCAGGCGUGUGGAACCUCAGGACCCCUGCAACAGCCAGCCGCAGUUCCCCUCCUCCAGUUACAAGAGGUCGGCUGGAGCCACUGCCACAGAACGAGGAUCUCGAAACGCAGUGGAGUCACUGGGUCUCCGAGUGGCAAGGCCUAGCAGUGGCCUUAACUGCCCAAGAGGGAAUAGACGUGGUUGGGUGGUGAGCAGCCACAGACACCAGCAGCCAGACUGGCAGAGAUGCGGGCGUGGGUUGGUGGCCUUGGGGCCCUAGGAGUGCAAGUGACAGCCCGAUCAGGUUUAGCUUGAGUGGAAGUAUUCUGGAUUGAGCCAAUAGAUACGUGACCCAGGCCACCAAAAGAGUCACAACCCCUUCAGUCACCACCCAGGCCCUUUGAGGAAAGACCCCACCACACUGCAGACAACGUAUACUGCUGAUCUUCUGCCCAGCCUCUCCAGGGACAUGGCCACUCCCUAGGGGACAGUAUACCGUUGGAGCUCCCAGAAGGCCCAUCCUGGGGACUGGCCUACUACCCACAUGGACCCCAUUGGCUGGAGGUGCUGGUGAGUGUCCUCCAACACCCCUGGGAGGGGCCACGCUGGCCCUUAGUAUCCUGUGGCCACAUAACUGGAUGUUGGGAGGACACAUCCAGAAGGAUCUGCGCACGACAAAUGUCAGAAGGAAGGGCUUUGUUUAGGCUGCAGGCUCUCGAACCUCAUGGAUGUGAGGAAAACUGCCAAGUCAGCCAUAUUUGGGGUGCUCCUCACAGGGAGGCUGUAGGGUCAGAGAGAGUGAAGAGGGGCCUCACCAAGCCAGAGCCCCGCAUGGCUCCCCCAAGAGGCCACGUGCUGAGGGUGUUCUGGAACCCGGCUGUAGUUGGCUCAGUCCCUUUUCUCAUCUUCCUCUUCUCUCUGUUGACCCCACCAAAGUUAGUUGGGGUGCUGGUUGUGGGGGCUUAUUUUGAAAGGUGAGCCUCUGCAAAUCCCAUCUGUGGCGGGGCAGCCACGGGCUGGUGCCCAACGGCAAAGGAUGGUCUGAAGAGUCUCCGAGCAUCCCUGGCCUCCUUGUUAGAGCACAGCUGUGAGCACGGAGUGAGUGGUGACAACAUGCAGUGCUCGAGAGCACUUUCUGAAGAGUGUGCUGUGCUGCACGGAGGGGGAGGGGCACACCUGUCUGCCUGUGGGGCGGGAGGGGAGAUGUGAGUCUCCUCAGUUACUUUGCACGCCCUUCCAGCAGCCCUGCCACAACCCACUGCCGAGGCUGGGAGGCCCCUGUGGGGGUGCCAGCCCCCUGCGUCAGCUCUGACUCCGAGGCGCUGGGCACGGGUCUGGUGACACCUCGAGAGGCUUUGAAACCCAAUGGCUGAGAAAGUGGUGCCCCCACCCCUGCGUAGGCCUGUGUCAUCAGCUCAUCAAGAAUCUUGGUGACUAACCCUCUGGUAGAAUCACCACAUUUACAAAAACAGCCACAGAGGUGUGUGUUCCAGACAAAGGGACAGGGCACUGCAAGUCGGCGUGAGAUUUAUUAAACCCAGAGAUGCUUCCAGAAUGUCUGAGGUGAGACUUUGGGUGCCUUGCCCCUGGAGAUGGUAGGGAGGUGGUGUUGGCAGACGCGGACCCAGAGUCCCUACCUGGCCCUCACCUUCAUGUUGAAGGCACAAGCAGAGAUGUGUGGAGGAUCACAAGUGAAUGACUCCUUACAGAGGUCAUGUGCUGGUGAGCAGUGUCUCAGGGACAUCUUGUGGCCAAAUCGUGGCGUACGGGGUGCCAAAUUGGGCCAGCAGAGCCUUACUAGUCCUGUGUGCCUGAUGGGGCUGUGUGGCUAAGGCAAGCAGUUUCCAAGGCCAUGCAGGCCUUCUGGAUGUCGUGUGAAAAGACUGGUGGCCAGUAUUUGGAUCUGCUCAGCCGAGCCCCCCUGGAAUUGCAGCAGCACCUACUUCCUAGAAACACUACUGUGUGUUGGGAGCCCUCUUCUGUGCCCGCUGUGGGGCCCACAGUUUUGCACAACAUGGCCUCCAUCAGCAGGAUCUGAUUAGCAAAUCACCACAGACCUGACCAGUCUCAAACUCCCCGGGGCGUAAGGAGAAACAGGGGCCCGGCUCGGACACCCAGCCUGGGAAGGGUACUUCCUGUUUGCAAAGCUUCAGAUGGUUCUUGUCAUGUUCCCCAGGCUGAGUCAUUCCUCAGACCUGACCCAGUGUUGGGGGCUGGCUGUGCCGCGAGACUCAGGUGUGCAGGGGGGCUCUGCCAUCUUCCAAGAGCUGUGUGAGCCCCUUGCUGGAAGGGCUCAAGCCGAUCUCCCUGAGCUUCCAGGAUGGGCUGCAGAGUGGGCAGAGCACUGUGCCUGUGGCCGUCCCACAGUACAACCAGGUGCUCUACGAGGAGGAGCCUCUGUGUGGAUCCAAGGUUGCCCUUUACCAGAAGGAUGCAUGCACUCUCAGGGUCGGUCCCUUUGAUGUAAAUUUAGGGCCCUGAAUGUUCUGGGAUUGGCUUUUUUUUCCUUCGCGUGGAUGCUCAUAGUGGCUUUAUUCCUAAGAGUGCCAAACCAGAAACAACCCAAAUGGGUUGACAGGUGAAUGGACAGAGAAGCAAACCAUGGUAAAUACGUACGGUGUAGUCCCGCCAGCCAGGAAGAGGAGCCUGGAUGGAUCCGGAAGAACCGGGGUGAGGGGAAGCCAUAGUCUUGCCAAGGUCCUUACAGGCCAGAAAGCUCAGCGUAGCCCAGAUCUCCCGCAGGCCGUGUGAGGUGUCUGUGCAGGUGGGGCUCCAUGAGGUGAAGGCUGCUCUGGGCAUGGCCUCAGGCAGAGGUGGUAAGAGGGCCUCCCACACCCCCUAAUAGAGUUUUCUCCACUUUUCACUUCACCAUUAUUCAAAAAGUCCUGCUUUUCCUUAAAGAUCUUUCCAUAUGCCUCCUGCCCAUCAGUAAAACUUGUCCUUGGAAGUCCAGUUACUGCUGGUGUUCCUCAACCUGUUAAACAGACAAAAGAAUGAGAGCAGAGCUUGGGCCAGGCCUCCUGGCCUUCCCUUCAGGCCGUGUGGGAAUCCCCACUCCCUCCUGGUCAACCCUCUGCAGGCCAACAGCAAUCGCGGUUGCUGACAGGCGGCGUCUGCCUGUCCCCAUGGUACCUCGGGGGCUGGGCCAAGGGUGGGGAGGCAGCAUCUGAGCAUCUCAAGCAUCUCAGGCCACACAAGUCAGAUGCUUUCAGCAAGACCCCCACCCCCCACCCCAGGCCCAGCAGCUCCUCCGCACUCCCUGCCACUUCUGUCGGUGGCAGCUGGAUGGUUUUGCGAAAUCAGCCCUCGGAUUUUCUGCCCAGUUCCUAAGUGCCUUUCCUAGCUACUUGCGCUGUUCACUGAGCAACCUUUUUCGGGACUUACACUCAAGCCCCAUUUCAUUCAGGAGCCACUUGAAUUUAGCACAAUCCACAGUGGCCAAACCGUGGUGAUUCUGCAGCACUGACAUCGAUGUUAACAUCCAGGGCGAUGGGGAAGGCUGUGGCUCAGGUGCCUAGGGGGCAGGAAAUGCGCCAAGCAGAGACCUGAGGUUCCCCAGGUGAGUGAUGGGGGACCCAUUGGCCAAGCAUCACUCAUCAGGUGUCCUCCCCCUCAGCAAGAUGCUUUCUAGUCCAAACUAUCCAUGGAGAGAGGCUCACUAGUCUCGAAGAAUUCUUUGUUAAUACUCUUAGUGGAGGGGUGCCUGGGUGGCUCAGGCGGUUGAGCGUCUGCCUUCAGCUCAGGUCAUGAUGCCAGCGUCCUGG